UGGCAGCCAAGGGGGAAGGAGCCCUCCUAGAGGAAGGGAAGAGGCCCAACUAAGUGCUGCUCCUGUCUUGCAUAAACUGUUCCAUUACCUUGCCUGGCACCGAUGACAUCCUAAAUGGCCUAAAGGACAGGGCAUCCCACUGGCCCAUUUUGAACACUGAGUGAAGCACUUUUCAGCUGAGGCACCUGUGUAUCACUCUCUACAGCUGCAUGACAAAGGCACCAGAUGGAGCAGAUCAUUAUGAGGGAGGAAAUAAAAGGCCACAACUGAGUGGCCAAAGAAUAUAUGUUGCUAGAAGACCUCAAUGCAAAUUACAGAUGCAGCUCAAAGAAACAGAUGAAAAGGCUGGUCAUUGCAUACAUAGAUUGAAAAUGCUG